rnacentral:lncRNA from 1 species
UUUUGGUCUUAAAUACUGGUGGCGUCCCCAGGGAAGAGAGCCAAGCAUCUGUCUGUGUGACCAGCCUCUCUCUGCUUAUGGAAUUGGAUCUUUCAUUAGAAGGAAGCACAGAUCAAGCAUUUUCUCUAUGCCAGCUUUCUACUUUCCUUAACAUCUGCCAAGUCCUCCUCUCAGAAUGAGGAAUGAAUGGAUGUGUUCCCAAAGAAAGACAGACAUAAUUAACGACCUGCUAAAACUUGUCUCCUCUCUCCAUUGUAGGGUAUUUGUUGCAAAUGCCCCUCUUCAGUCUUGAACCGAG